rnacentral:miRNA from 1 species
GUAUGUCUGUGUGUGUGUGUAUGUGUCAGUAUGUCUGUGUGUGUAUGUCAGUAUGUCUGUCAUAGACACACACAGACACACACAGACAUACUGACAUACAUACACAAACAGACAU